UACGUAGGGUCCGAGCGUUGUCCGGAAUUAUUGGGCGUAAAGCGCGUGUAGGCGGCUUUGCAAGUCGGGUGUGAAAGCCCUCAGCUCAACUGAGGAAGUGCGCCCGAAACUGCAGAGCUUGAGUGCCGGAGAGGGUAGCGGAAUUCCCCAAGUAGAGGUGAAAUUCGUAGAUAUGGGGAGGAACACCGGUGGCGAAGGCGGCUACCUGGACGGUGACUGACGCUGAGACGCGAAAGCGUGGGUAGCAAACAGG
rnacentral:rRNA from 1 species